GUGCUCCUCCAGAACAAAACUUCUAUUCCUAUGCAUGUGCUAGAUAAGUUAGGGAUUGAUGGAGUAUCAUAUUACAUACCUUACUAUCUACCCGUGGAAUCUAAAAAAAAAAAAAAAGCCAAUUUCCUGGCGGUUCUGGCCUGCGGUGAAAGCUAUUUAUUUUCUUGUUUUCUUUUGGCGUACUGUGGGUAUUAUUUAUUGAGAAUGUCUCACAUGCAGUAAGUUGUAAAGCAGAUAUUCGUGCAACCAGUUGUGUGUGGAGCCUACCAUCUGUGAUGGCAUCUGACUGUCCAGCAAGUUUGCCCCACAAUGAAAAUGGGAUGCCCAAAAAAUCAGGCUGAUCCAUCUAUCAGGUUGGAUGCCAUACAAACACCAAGGUGACCCCAAAUGCAGCUAGUUGCAUGAAAAUCCCAUCUAAAACUAGUGUGAGAGGUUCUCAAUACCUUAUUGCAUUGGCUUUCCAUCUAUCUAUUUGCAUCUUUCAAGAAA